rnacentral:rRNA from 1 species
AUGAAUUGCUUGGCCUGGAACUGUCGAGGACUGGGGUUGGACUCGACAGUCGGCGAACUACAGGACCUCAUACGGUCAUACAACCCAGCGGUGGUUUUUUUAUCGGAGACUAAGAAAAAAGCAAGGGCGAUGGAGAGGCUGAAAUGGAGACUUGGGUUUCGAAGUGGUGUUGCAGUGGAUUGUAAUGGGAGAAGUGCAGGUCUAGCAUUAUGGUGGAGAGAACACUUAGGCCUUGUACAAUGGGAGAUGCUUAGGGGAGGUGCUUAG